rnacentral:lncRNA from 1 species
CUGAGCUCCCCCUGCUGGCCACUAUGCAGAACGUCACCGUCUGGGCCCAAGUCCUGGCUUCACUGAAGCCUACUGUCUAAUGCCAGCGCUUGAAUGCUCUGACUGCCAAGGUCCUAAGGCCCAGUGAGGGCAGUCCUGAGAGACCCAGCCUAAUGAGAGUGCACGCAAGGGCUUGGCUGAACAUUUAUGAAACACGUGCCACAUACAAAGUGCUGCGGAAAGGCCCAAAGGGAUUUCAUUUGGCUUUUCGUCUUCUUGCCUCAAAAGGGAGGCUAGAAUUAAACUGCCCUUCUGGGGCUGGGGUGAGAGCCCUUCCCCGCCCAGUUCUGACCUUCGGAGCAGCCUUCCAAAAUAAAUCCCCAGAAGAGCCUCUCAGGGCACCAGCGAUGGCGCGCCUCCCUCUUUCCUUUCCUUAUCUCUCUCCGUAUUCAUCUUCUCUUUCUUCUCUGCUUGGAGAGGAGAAAUUGCAAUGUGCAAAGCCCCUGGGGCGAGAGGGAGAGAAAUACAAGUCUCCCCAAAUGCCAAGCGUAUGUUACUGCUAAGAAUAGCCUUUAUCUCUGGGAGGAAGCGCAGGAGACCUGGUUCCUGUUUUUCUCUCCCUCUCCCUCCCUCCUUUCUUCCUCUCUUCUCCCUCCCCCUCACACACGAUGAAGGUUGAUUAUAAAGAGGGCAGUGAGCCUGUCUUUCCUAACGUGACUGAGACUUGAGUCACAAAGGCUAGAGAGGGGAUGUGGGAGGAGAGAAUAAGAGUCCAGAGGCAGGGUGGGAGGGAAGGGAGAAGGCAAGAGCAGCAUGGGGGAAACAGGAAGAACAGGACACGGGAGUCUGUAGCCAACUGACUGACAGGGGUGGUGGGACCCUCAAGGAGCGUCCCUGAGGUCAGCAGUGGGGGCACCUGGGGCUUUAGGCACGCCUCCCCCCCAUUCUGGCAGGACACAGGCAUCACCUUGAGGGAUGGGGACAGGUUUCCA